AAAUCUGAUCACCUCUCCUAGCCUACCCCCAAAAGUAUUUUGAUGGCUUCUCAUUGUUCUUAGGAUUUAAGACCAAAAUAAUCUGUAACAUGGCCUUUGUGCCCCUGGAUGACCUGGCCCUGCUGCCCUUCUUCUUACUGUCCCCUGUGGCUGGCUCAUCCUCACUCUAUUCUAGCUGCACUGGCCUGUUCUCUCCAUCCCUCCUAUCCCGGAGCUUCAGCACUUGGCCACUGCCUCUCAGGAACUGCUCACCCCAACCUGCAACCUCCAAUUCAGUGGAACUUAUGAGGUUCAACUAUAUUUGAGUUGGAGAAUCUAAAUGAACAAAAAGAGCUUACCUGAUCCACCAAUCUGAAAAGUAUUUCUUCAUGGAAUCAUGGUAUCCUAAGGGAAGAAUGGACCUAAGAGAGAUCCUAAUCCAUCCCCUUUCACACCUGCAAGUCCAAGUCAUUCCAUGUCUCACUAGAGUUCCCUUGAGCUGGGGCAAUCUGUUCCAUGUACUUUAGGGGGACUUGGAGCAAAACUUCAUGACAGUUCUGUGAUAAAAGAGCAAAAGAAGGUUGUGUCUUUCCCCAAAGGUCUAGAGAAAUUAGAAGAGAGGGUAGAGAAAGGGAGGGUAUGUGGAAACAGGAGUUGAGGAAUGGAUAAUAGGAAAAAGAACAACUAGGGAAAAUAAUAAAAAUGGAAAAAAAACUUUUAAAAAUUCUGGAAAC
rnacentral:lncRNA from 10 species